rnacentral:lncRNA from 1 species
UUUUUUUUUUUUUUUGUCCGGCCUCUUUUAUAAGGUUUGGAGUCUCCCCAUAAAUUAAAAAAAAAAAAAGACUAUGAAAUAUAGAAUAUACUGAUAUAUAAAGUAUCCAUUUAAACUCCAUCCCUGAGUACAGACUAAAUAUCUUGUUUUUAGGGUACGAAAAGAAUAAUGGUUGUUAGACGAAGUAUGAAACUGAUCUUUCAAGAGUUGAAAAUAGUGAAAUGACUAAAGAACGUUAAAAUUUCACACAAGACUUUUAAUUCGAACAAACUACAAGCAUACGUUCAAAAGUGUGUAGGUUCUUGUAAGGCUUUUAUAAUACUUUGUUCUAAAUGUACAAGUUAAGCAUACCAAAACAGAGGGAGUAAGCCCCCUUUAAAAUUCUAACAUUAUUUCCACCCCUAAUUGUGUAAACUUUUGGAUAGAAAUUUUAAAAUUUUGUUGAAUAAAUUAAUUAGUUCCACCUAUUAUUCUGUACGUUCAGGACACAAAAUAGAAAUACCUUUCUAUAAGAUGUACACAAAACUGAUAAGAGGGUUUUUUUUUUUUUGAAGGAAAUGAUAAGAGGUUUGACACAGGCCAUCCUUAGGUUUAGGUAAAUGUAUUUUUUUCAAGGUAAAUGUUUGAUAAGUGACUUUGAAGCAUCUUCAUGAUCAAUAAAUCCAUUGGGUUUAAAAAGUGAUGCAAUUUGUUGCUCAUCAUUUGUAUACGUUGUUCUACGUGUAAUAAUAGUCUGUCACCUGGCUCUACCUAUAAGAAAAACCUCUUACAACUUUCUUUGAAUAAGACCUCCUCCACACCUUUAUAUAAACCGUUAUGCUGAUCAUAAAUUUAUCAAGCAAGCAGAUGAAGAGACAAAUAACAUUUUUUAGUGCUUUGUGCCGUCAUGAUGACGCCGUUGCACUGCUUCAAUUCAAAGAAAUGUUUAGCAUUUCAACUUAUGCUUAUCUAGAUUGUGAGGAUUUGGGUCAGUAUUCAUAUCCAAAAACAACACAUUGGAAAGCGGAUACAGAUUGUUGCAAUUGGGACGGCGUCACAUGCCACAACUUCACCGGUCGUGUGAUUCGGCUGGAUCUGAGUUGUGGCCAGCUUCAGGGAGUCAUCCAUCCAAACUCUAGCCUUUUCCAUCUCUCCCAUCUCCACAGCCUCAACCUUGCUUUUAACAAUUUCACACCGAUUUGGCUCGCUAAAAAUUUUGACCCACCUCAAUCUCUCAUUUUUCAAAUUUCGAAAAUGAAUUUGCUUCAGAAAUAUCACACCUUUCCAACCUAGUUUCACUUGAUCUCUCUUUCAAUAAGUUUUUAAGAUAUGAACCUAGCAAUUUUGAAACGAUGCUUCGAAACUUAUGGUGUGUUUGGUUCUACAGAAUUGAAAUUGAAUUGGAAUUGGAACUCUAUUGAAUUAGAAUUCUAUGACUUGGAAUUCCAAAACACUGGAAUUCUUUUGUUUGGGUAAUGCAUAGAAUUGAUACAGAAUUCAUUUGGAAUUCCAAAUUCUUUGUUUGGAUGGGAGAAGAAUUCAUUAAAAAUUAGAAUUGUUUCCAACUAACAUUUCCUUACAUAAAAAAUUUCUUUUUUUUUUACUAUAUAAUAAUUUUUUAACAUUUAGCUAAUUGUUACUAAAGCUUUAAGGAAAAAGUCAAUUAGUGCCUUUAAUAAUUAAUUUUUCUUGCAUUUAACUAAUUGUUACUAAAGCUUUAAAGAAAAAAUAACAAAUUAGUUCCUUUUCUGCAAAAAAAAUAUUCUUUUUUCUUAAUUAAAUUAUAUCAAAUAAAAAAUAAUUGUAUAUUCUAACUUAAAAAGUAGUUAAUAUUUAUCAAGUUAAAACCUUGAUACUUUUUUUAAAGUUAAGAUCUUUAAAUUUUAGAAAAUCAAAAGCCUACUUUAUGAUAUGAAUUGGGGAGGAAAGUCAUAACUUGUACCUAUUAAAAAUGUUUGAGUUUUGUAUCUUACAAGAAAUUCUAAUAGAUGAAUAUGCAAACAAAGUGAUUUUAGCCACAAAAAAAAAAAAAGAGAAAGAAAAGAACAAUUAUACAUUGCUACUAUUUUCAAUAAAUGGCCAUUCUAAAAUUUGAAAUCAUGCCAACGUGCCUGAGGGUCAAACUAUAAAUAGGAAACGUAUGACAGUUGAUGAUGAUUGUAAAACAUGCUUUACUUUAUAUAAGCACAAAUCAAUAAUGAAUUACUUUUUUUUUUUUUGUGUUUGCUAUCUAUUACCAGAUAGCUAUUGAAAAAUUUGCAAAUUAAGGAAGCUUGUUAUGAAAACCUUGAAAUGUGAAAAACAUAAUUUGUGUGUAUUUCUGGUAAUCAUUCUUUUUAAACUGAAUAUUAUCCUUUAAUGAAAAGUCCUAAGGCAUAAGUAUGGACGGCUUUCGAUUUUUCUAAUAGAUCCACUAACUCGAGAACUUAUCUUGUGAUAAUGAAUGAUUGCAAAUAAAGGACCCAAAUUUUCUGCUGUAAAGGCUAUCUUUUCUUUUCUAACUUAAAAUUGAAUAAGCAAAAUCGAAAAAAAAAGAAGUUAAAAUAAGAAAGCGAUUUAUUCAUUAAACAUUGACGUAGAAAUCAUCUUAUGUUUAAUUAAGAGACAAAAAGGCUCAAUGGUCACCAUCAUUACCACAAAAUAUUCCCCAUUUGUUGUGGUGAUAAAAUUGAGGAAUGAGGAUGAAGUUUUUGGGUUGAAACGUUAAGCCUAAAAGUUGACAAUCCUUUUUUUUUUUGUCCGUCCAAAUUGACAACCACUAGUUAAUCCACUGGCUAAGAUGCUCUCAAUUACUUAAUGCUGGUGUUAAAAUAUUGUCUUGUAUUACAGGCCUUGAAAAUUUCUCAUAUGAUUCUCUGUGUUUGCAUUAUUCUUUAUUGAUAAACAAUUAUCUGUUCACAUUAUAAACACGUUUUCUAUUAUCUUUUUCUUUUAAUUUUUCAAUCAUCUUUUUAUUUCAUCACACAUUACAUUACAAAAAAAAAUUACAGUAUUAUUCUAAAAGAAAUUUCCAAAUAAUACUAAGUAAUUCUCUGGCCAAGCGCACCUAAUGAAGGGGUAAAUGUACAAGAAACAAUCUUGAUAUGAAAAAGAGAGUAAUUCAAAACCUUAAAAUGUGUUGAUAUAUAAUUCCUAGAAAAAAGCAUCUCCCACCCUAUUUUUGAUCGAAAUAUUCUAUUCAUAUUUAUUGAAUUGAACUAGAUCAAAUUCCAAUCCCAUAUAUGACCCCAAAAUGUGCUUCAUCUUGAAAAAUGAAAAACAAAAUCUUUUAGCUUAGGAUGCAGAGUGUAAGCAUCUGGCACAAAGUGCAGUAUAUCCAUCAUUGACAUAUUCAUAAUCAAUUUUAUAAAGUAAGAUAUUCAUUUGAUAUUGAUACAUUGCAACAUAUGCAUGCAAUACAACGAAAAAUAUUACACCAUUCUCAGCAAAACCAUACAGAAGAUAGUAGCACUUGAAGCCGAUGAUGUUUACCCUCACCAUCCAUCUGAAUCUCCAUCUGACUCCUCAAUUUCUUCUGAGAUAAGGAUUUUAAGAUCCGGAUUUCCAUAGUCUCUCUGCUGUUGCAUAAUCUCUCGAACUGAAUCCCCAGUAGAGAAGAGGCAUCUACGCACCUCAAUCAAUUGAAGAGUUUGAGAUUCCCCUAAACAAGAAGGGAGCUCUUCCAACUCUGCACAACCUUCCAUUAUUAAUCUCUCAAGACUGGGAAAGUGAUCUCCUGAUCCCAUCCAUUUGACAAUGCUCAAAUCCUUCAAUUUCAAGAACUUGAGUUUAGGGAAGAUUUCCUUUUCUUCCUUGCCUUCCAUGUCCCACUCCUUUACCCCAUCAGCUUGUCGGAGUAAUUUAAGAACCUCGAGAUUUGGUAGCUUUCUGAUUGUGGACAUUAUGCUCCAUGAGAAGUCCUCCAGCGUCAACUUCUUAAGAUUCGAGGGGAGAUGAUACUCGAUGGGAUGCGCAGUCACUUUACCCAGAAGCAGCUUUAGUGAUUCUAGUUGAUUCAGAAAAUCCAUUGCCACAAUCCUUGUGCCAUCACAAGAAGAUUCCUCUGACUGUAGCAGACAGCAUUUCAGUCUGCGGAUAUUUGGAAACUUUCUGAUGAUCUUUUCCAUGCUUUGCCCAAGAUAAAGCUUCAUAGUUGAAAAAGAGUCUAAAUUGUUCAAGAUGCAGGAGCUUUCAAGGUUAUCAUUGGCCAAUGUAAUAUCAAUCAAAGCACCAUACACAUGCAGAUGCCUCAAUUUCUGCAUCUUUAGAAGAGUAUCUUGCAACAAAAAAAGACCAACAUUAUCCUUUGUUCUCACAAGAAAAGUUUCCAAAUUUGAGAGCUUUUCUAGUGAAGAUGGAAUGCCAUUCUUGAGCCAACCUAGAACUGCCAAGUACCUCAGCUGAACAAGCGACCAUAAUUCCCUCGGGAAAUCAGAACCUAGACUAAUAUUUUUUCCAAGUCUAGCACAAUAAGAAGUUUCAGGAGAAAAAUGAAACCAAAAUUGCACCGGAGUUGGCGGACCCCAAAAUCUCGAGAUGAAUAUAAUAGAGAGCGUAUUUGGGGACAAAUUAUCCUAGAUUUGAUGAAAUGCUUUGGUUGAGCUUGAAUAGAUAAUCGACGUGGGUUGUACGGCUCAUCAAAUGUAAGAUCCUCAUCAUACCCUCGCACCAAUUGUAGAAAAUUUUGUUUUUUGGCUAUUUUCACACAAAAGACAUGCAACAAAUCAUGAAUGCGGCAGGUCUUGACCUCACCUGCGCAUCUUCGUUGCCCCACCAUAACUAAGCUUCUGUUGAUUAGAGCCAUUAUAUAGCCUUCUGCUAUUUUCUCUGGGCACUCCGACCCGCUCUUCUGCACAAAUCCUUCAGCGAUCCAUAACCAUGUCAACCUCCGGACACAAAUUUCUGAAUCUUCUCGAAAGGCUCCAAAGUAAAGAAUGCAUUGCUUCAAAUGGUCAGGCAGAUGCCCAUAACUCAGCUCUAGUAUGCUGCUGCAUUGUUCUGUGGCACCAACCAUGGCAGUUAAACUCACCAUUUUUGCGACUUCUUCCCACCCAGCUUGAUCGAGAGUUGCAAGGAUACCAGAUAUGAUGGCAAUUGAUAGAGGCAUCCCAUUACAAGUUUUUGCUAUUUUCCACCCGAGAAAAUUUUGUUCUUCGGAAUAGCCUUCUUCUCUAAUAACUGCCAACUUCUUCUGUAGUAAUUCAUAGCUUUCUGAUUCAUCAAGUGUCCUAAGAUGAUAAGGUGUGCCAAUAAUAUCAGUAAGUCGACUUGUUAAGAGAAUUCGGCUUCCAUUGUUUUUCUCUGGGAAUGAAGAUUUUAAAGCAUUCCAUGCUUUAAUGUCCCAAACAUCAUCCAAAACUAUGAGAAACUUCUGUUUCAACAAGCGUUGCCGGAGUUCAAGAGCCAAUUGAUAAUCAUCCUUCUCAGAAAAUUGAGUUUUCUGAUCAAUGCAAGCCAAAAUCUGAAGCAACAAAUCUCUCUUGCAAUAUGUUUGGGAGAUACAACACCAUGCCUGAAUGUGGAAGUGAGAUGUAACUCUAGGAUCACGGUAAACUCUUUGUGCCAAAAAAGUCUUGCCUAGUCCAGCCACGCCCACAACGGAGAUGAUGUCCAGCUGCUCUAGACCUUUUAUAAGUUUAUCAAUCAUUGCUUGCUCCACAUCCUGCAAGACCACCUCAGCUUUAUCGACUGUUGGGAUACUACUCGAUGAUGACACCUGGUAAGAUGCUCCACUCGUCUUGCUUUUCACUGUUUUCAAAAAAUUAAAAAGAGAAUGAAAUAUCAUUAAUAAAAAAUGGAGUGCUAACAUUGUGAUCCAUUCAACUAUUGUUGAGAUGUUACCUUGUGAUGUCAUAUGCCUCGGAAUCUUGGUAGCUUCCUGGGCUAGACUUUCGACGAGCUUAAUUUCUUGUGCAAUAUCAUCAAUAACAUCAGAGAGUAGAAUGAGAUAUCCUUAGUAAGGAAUUCGAUAACAAAUUCUGCCUUGAAUGCAACCUCUAUGACACGACUCCCAAAGGGCAUGGGGAUCUUCCUGAUGGUUGUGUUGCUCCCCAUUUCCUUCCAAUAAUGAUCUUAAAGAUACAAGAUCAUCUUUUCAUCGUCUGAAGUUGGUGCUUUUCAUUCAUGAUGUGCUGCUCCAAAUUAUUCUCCAAGAAUGACGUUAAGAAUGGGACAUCAGCUUGCAUCUUUUUGAUGUUGGAGCUUUUCAAGCCGGAUCUGCCGCUCCACAUCAAUGGCCCAGGGUGUUUUGUACACUUUUGCAAGUUCUUGCCCAGGAAAACCAGUGGGAGAAGAUCGGUCAACUCUAGUGCAUUGGAUCUUGUUCAAGUAUGAAUUUAAGCAGUCAACUCCAUCCUUUGCAAAAGAAAAAUAUUGGAUCAACUUCACAGCUUUCCAGUUCCUUCAACUUUUCUAGAACAAGAUCGAUCAACUCUAGUGGCAUUGGUUGUUGGAAAUUUGGACCUUAUGAUGCUACAGGAUACUUUUUCUCAAUUUCUGCCUUAACAAGCUUGAUCUUCUCCAGUAAACAAAAGAGCUUAAGAUCAAUUUCCACGGCUGAAGCUUCUCGGACAUUGUCCUGAUAUAGUGAGAAAAUUACAAUCCCAGCAUCACUGACCACAGCCCCAAAGCGAUCUUUGAUUCCUCCCGGAAGCCCAUCAAAAUCGUCUUGCUGCUUCAUCAAAUGCCUCUCAAGAACUGCAGUCCCUCGUAGAGUAUCCGAAUUUGAUGCUUUAGAGAUGAAGUAAACCAGGCAGGACACUUUACGAGAAACUCCCAAAGAUUACCUAGGAGAGAACCUACAAAACCCCCACUAUAGACAUAUUAGCCUUGGUAGACAUCCCAAGUGAUGAAGACAUGGAUUCCAAGGUGCUGAUAUAAGCCAAACGGACUGGCUCAACACGGGCUUGAUCUGAUCUUUUACUUCAUCAAUCUUGGAGCUGAUUUCAACAAAAACUUCAUUAUCAUCUCUGAAAAACCAGCAACUUUGACAAAGAUGGGCUGCAGACAGAGCCACAACUCCACAGUGUUCCAUAAGUUUCCGCUCCUGCUUGCCUUGUGACCUAGCAAAGAGAAUGGAGUUUUUGAGGAAUACUAGCUUCUCUUGCAAGGGCUCCAACAGUUUUUCAAGUUCCGAAUCGUAGGCUUCACCCCAAUUGAGAAUAUCCAACAAAUUCUCUAGCAAGGAGUGGAAGAAAUCCAUGAACUCAUCUGUCAAAGAAGAACUGGAUGCCAAUAAGCGAUCCAACAUACUGGGAUACCUUUUCCCGUAUGAUUCACCGUCCAAAAAAUAGAGCCCCGCUUUCUCAAAUCUGUUGUAUUGAAUCGUAUUCUAGACUCAGAGACGGAUUUCGCUAAGGAAUCGGAAAUAAUCGACAUAGGAUUUCCUGAUUUCUUGCUUAAAACUCUUUAGAAUGCCUCCAAAAGUUGAAGCUGAUCCAGCCAAGUCGCUGGGGACAAUCCAUCAUCCUCGAAUACAAGAAGAAGAGAGUAAAACUGCUGCCCAUAUUCAUGAGCAGAUAAUUCCAAACCACCCCGGGAAUAUCCCAAUUUCCACUGACACAGAAGGUGUUUUCACAAGUCCAAGCUCCACCUUCAGCUCAUUCGAAGCACGAUCAUACUUGCAGAGAUCACCCUGGGGAACCAACAGCCGCAGUUUAUCUAAGAUGGAAUCAAUGCAAGUCAUCAACUCCAUCUGCCAUGUUCUUUUAUACAUCCCUAUUCCAGUAUUCUCAGAUUUCUAUCUCUACCCUUUCAGUAAGUGAUUGUUUGUUCUACCUCUCAAUGAAAUGAUUUGGUAGCUUUCAAAACACCAGUACUAACUAAUGCAUUAUUCAUUAAUUGAGUAAAAAAAAUUUAUAAAAAAUAUUUAGAUCAACUUUAUAUGAUCAAAGUGUAAAUGAACUUUUCAAAGUUUGAAAUAUUACUAUCAAACAACACAAUUUAUCUAAUUGUUUAUUUUUAAACAAGCACCCCGAAAAGCUUAAAAAAUUCAUAAUUUUGCAAAGAAAGUAACAUCGAACCUACCUUUUUUUUUUUUAAUCCGGUGUCCUAAAGGUAUAGAAUAGUAUGGCGCUUAUCUUAGUUUUCUGAUAUUAUUGUCAAGUAAAUGUUGACUUUCCUCGGAUGCUAUCAUCCUCGAUUAGGAUUUAUUAGCGGAGUAGAGAUACUAAUUAAGUAAUUAUUCCCGCGACAACUUCACUCUAAUUAAUGAUAGAGGACCGACUUUUUCUAAAAUAAUGUUGAGUGGAGGUGUAACCAUUUGCUAAUCAAAAGACAGAAAUUAUAUGUUGAAGGAAUAAGCACAAUUCCAUAAUUCUUUUGGUUUCUUUUUUUUUUUAAUUUUGGGUGUUAUCAUUUAUUAAAUAGCUGUUGGAAAAUUUGCGAAUCAAGAUAACUUUCAGAUUUUUAUAUAUAAAAGAUUUUCGGACUCGAGCCCUUCUUUUUUCUUCUUGUUCUAACUUUUAUUGAAUUUUUUGCGAAUGAAACUUCAGUGAAGUUGAAGGCUGCAUUUUGUGAUUGGCCCAAAACUUAAAGUCGAAGCGAUGGAUUAAAUAAUUAAACAUUGACAUAGUAAUCAUUAGCACAAGCCAUUGAGGGCGAUGUUGGUUGAAACCUGGAGGCUAUAAGUUGAGAUUUAUUUAAUUCAUUAGGUAAGAUGCUCUUAAUUACUUAAUCCUGCUGUUAACGUGUGAAUCAUAGUCUCGCAAUUUCACUAAAAGUCAUUGAAAUCUAUCAAGUGAAACCUAUCAAGUCAUUAAAAAUUGUUGCCCUCAUUCUACCUAACCCAUCUCUCCUUUGAAGGCAGUAGCCUCUUGUAUAGUUUUGUGAUUUUCUCAUUUUUACUCAUUUACGUUUCAAAAUAUUCCCCUAAAAAUCUCCUUAAAGAAAGUAAUUAGACUAUAAAAUUUUUGAAUGUGAUACUGCGAGAUAAGCAACUUUCACCCUAGUUUGGAUUCAAAUAUUUUAGGGAUAAUUUCAGAAACCUCCCCUGAAGUUCCUGACAAUUUCAUUGAUCUCUCUGGAGAUUUGAAAAAUUACACAUACCACCCUUAUCAUUUAAAAUGACAAUUUUAUCGUUAAAUAUUUUAAUGAGAUUCCCUUAUUUGGUAUGCUUAUAUUUAGAAUGAGGUUUAAAAUUAUUUUUUUAUUAUUUUUCCUUCUUAUUCCUUUUUUAAAUUUUUCACAAAUAAAACUGUAGAACUAUCACACUAUUGCUUCUAGUUUCUAUUGUAACCAAAUGUCAAACUAGUAAUUUUUUUUACGAGUUAAUUUUAUAUGUAAUCCAAAGUUUUGCUGAUCUUUGUUUUUUAUUUUUUGGUACUAAAUUAACAAUAAAUCAAAAAGAAAUGACCCAAAAUCAUUACCAAAUUAUGAUAAUCCCAUUAUCCGAAAAAUUCAUAAACUCUAAAUGAAUUAUUUCAACAUUUUCUUUUCUAUCUUAUAUAUCUAAAUGCAUAAUAAGGUACCAUCAAAAGUAUCCUAUCAUAUGAUAAAAUUAUUAUUAUAUUUGUUUAUUAAAUAGUAGGUAUAGACAUAAAAAAUUUGGAACCUUUUCCUUAUAAUUAUACUAGAUAAUCUUAUAAUUGUAUAGAAAAAUAAAUUAAUAGAUAAGAAAAUAGAAGAAUUCGUCACUCGAAGGAGAACUGGAUUCCAAAAAGCUCUCCAGAUAUGAAUUAUGACUCUUGUUGCAAUAGUCAUACCUGUCACGGCCCUGAGAGACAGAUUUUAGCAAGGAGUCCAACAUCUCGACGUACAUUUUACUGAUUUUUUGCCUACAAUUCUUUAGAAUUCUUUAGUUAUCUCUGAGGAAUAACGCAAUUUCCUUGCACAAAGGAAAAAUGUUUUCACUAGGCUCAACUCUACCUUCAGCUCCUUCAGGGUUCAGACCAUGAUCAUCCUUGCAGAAACCUAUGAUCGAAUCAAUGCAAGUCCUUGCCUCGGUAGACAGAGUGAGUGAUGGCGAUUCAGAUUCCCAGACACCAGUAUAAGCCAAAGAAGUUCGGUCAGCAGCAGAGUUGAUCUUGUCCACCGAUUCAGAAGUCUUCAAGUGAAUUCCAUCUCUUAAAAUCCAACAACAAAGACGUGUUGCGAAUAGAGCCACAACUGGAAAUCGCUUGAUAAAAUUGAGCUUUCUCCUCCGGCUAGGGUAACGUAACUCUUCCAGUGAUGUUGGGUUGAUUCGAACAGGUACCAAGACUGCUGCAAAUCUUGAAUCACAGCGUAUACCGAGGCGGAGAAUGCGCUGUACAUCCUGUUGGAAGGAUAUGAAAAGACCAAUGAAUUCAUAUCUCUCAUGAGACAUCUCUUCCCAUCCACCCGUCAAGUCAUGCUCCCAGCGCUGCUGCAAAUAUCUCAUGCUGCAUUCCGAAAAGAGUAGGACCAUGGAAUCCCACAUCCCUUUGUAAAAAUCUGUGAUUUGUUGCCUAAAAUUCUCUAGACUUUCUCGAUCUGCUUCAGUGGAGGGCAAUCCAUCCUUAAGAAGAAGAGAAUAAAAACCCUGCCAACCUUGAUGAACAGAAUCGUCAAGACAACGGGUCUGUUGCCUAAAAUUCUUCAAAAAAUCUCCAAAAAUGGAGGCUGCUGCAAUUGAGUCGUCGCCGGACAAUGCCUGAUCUAAUUUAAAUGAAGAGUAAAGCCGCUCCCUAUUUUCACGAACAAAAUCUACAAGUAUGUUAAAGGAAUCCUCCAAUCGCCUUGCUUCCAGAAUAAAAUCUCUCACUUCUCUUAAUUCCCCUUCAACUUGUUGAAAUGAUCCUCCUCCACGGAGAAAACACCCCGUCCAUCAGCAACUGCAGCUUAUGGAAGAUCGUUUCAAUGAAACGCCUGCUGCCCUCUUCUGGAUGCCAUGGCUCCUGUUCCGUUAUUCUCUCUCUGUCUUAACUUUUUUCUUCUCUACCUCUCCGGCUCUCCCUGACUGCUCGAGUCAGUCAACGCUGUGGAAAUGGGCAUACAACUCAAUGAUGUGGUCGGAAAUAAAUUUUACUUUUCCAGAACAACUCAAUGGGCAUUAACUUUUUUUUUUCUUUUUUUUGCGGCGUACAAAUCUGCUACAAAGCAGAACUGAUAAUUGGACGUAAGCAUGUAUCCAGUUGUAUAUGUCUGGUAGAAGUUCCUGUUCAUAGUCAUACC